CCCCCUCACGACUGAAUCUGCGAUGAAGAAGAUUGAAGACAACAACACCCUUGUCUUCAUUGUUGACCUUAAGGCGGACAAGAAGAAGAUUAAGGCAGCCGUCAAGAAGAUGUAUGACAUCCAGGCGAAGAAAGUCAACACUCUGAUCAGGUAAAUUGAUCUGUCUUCCAUGUUUUGUGAGAAUGCAAAUUGCCAUGUCUUGAGUGAUAUUCUGAGUAAUUUCUUGUUUCACAGGCCUGAUGGGAAGAAGAAGGCUUACGUGAAGCUUACACCAGACUACGAUGCUCUUGAUGUGGCCAACAAGAUCGGCAUCAUCUAAAUUUUGUGGUUUUGUGUGUCAGUGUGUUGCAGUUUCUGAGUUUUGGUGGUCUAGGUCUUACUGUU
rnacentral:lncRNA from 1 species